UGGGGGAUAUUGCACAAUGGGCGAAAGCCUGAUGCAGCGACGCCGCGUGGGGGAUGAAGGCCUUCGGGUUGUAAACUUCUUUUGCUCUGAACAAGACGCACCAUGGGGUGUGUUGAGUGUAGGGGUUGAUUAGCGCCGGCUAACUACGUGCCAGCAGCCGCGGUAAUACGUAGGGCGCGAGCGUUGUCCGGAAUUAUUGGGCGUAAAGGGCUUGUAGGUGGCUGGUUGCGUCUGUCGUGAAAGCUCAUGGCUUAACUGUGGGUUUGCGGUGGGUACGGGCUGGCUUGAGUGCAGUAGGGGAGGCUGGAAUUCCUGGUGUAGCGGUGGAAUGCGCAGAUAUCAGGAGGAAUACCGGUGGCGAAGGCGGGUCUCUGGGCUGUUACUGACACUGAGGAGCGAAAGCAUGGGGAGCGAACAGG
rnacentral:rRNA from 1 species